rnacentral:lncRNA from 1 species
GUAAGCGGACGCGCGGGGAGCCGGCGGCGCGCGCCGAAUGAGGCCGGGCGCGCGCGGGGGGACCCGGCACGAAGAGGAAGGAGCGCGGUGGGGAGUUGGGAGCGCGGGGCUCCCCCGGGACCCCCCGCAGCUCCGACGGGGUUUCAGUUGACUCGGACUGCACCGCAGCGAGAGUCCGUUAGGAGUCUCCGCCUGGGCGCGCAGCUGGCCGACCAUCCCGGCCCGCCUCCCCCUCGCUCCCACCAGGAAGGGCAGCCGGGCGAGAGCCAGUGACCUCUCCUCCCGCCAGCCCAGAACGAACAAUCACCAGUCCAGCGUGAGUUGUGGACCACUGGUAGGACUGGAUAGAAGAAUCAACCUCACCCUCACCACACUAACUGAAAGUGAUACUUCUCUUCAAAGGAAAAUCAGAGCACAUUACAGAAAGAAAGAAGAAAAGAAGCUGGGCAGCUCGAAUGAGAUAGAUUAGGGCAUGGCAAAGGCUGGCUGGGGAAGUAGGCGUGACCUGUUAACUACAAGAUCCGGGACACAUGUGCUUAAAUGUUCUCCAAAGCCCUGCACGUGGACUUCUGGCUAACCCGACCAGGUUUUCAACAGGAUGGCCUAGACCUGAGAUCAGCCUGAGGCGUGGGAUCCAAGCACCGGCUCUGAGAACCCAGAUAUAGAAGUUCUCGCGGUUUCCUCAAAAUUUGGACGCUAUUAAAGAAAGGCAGCCAGGAGGAGCAGCUAUCUUGGCUUUCCAAGAAAGCCCAUGCUGGGUUUUUUUGUUUUUGUUUUUUUUUUUUUUUGGUACUGGGGAUCGAACUCGGGUCCGCUUGCAUAGCAGGCGGCAAAAACACUGAGCUAAAUCCCCGGCCCUAACCCAUGCUGCUUUUACCUUUGCUCUUACCCUCUUUUUGUCUUUACUUGGACCAGGCUCACUCUGUAGAGAGUUUCUCAC